ensembl:lncRNA
UUGGCUGAUGUUCAGCAAGGGAUUUCCCAUCUCAAGUUGGUGGCUUGUGCCCUGGAAAGGCGCUGGAUGCUGCUUUACCUUUCUUGCCCUGGGCGAGAGGUGGCAAAGCCUCCUCUUCCUUUGGUUUCCCCUCCGCAGGGAUGCCUCCUGAGGACCUGCGGCAUAUCCCAGGCCCAUUUUCAUGCUGCAUGAUGGCCACUGCUUUCUAAAGGCUUCAGCAGGGCCAGGCUGAGAGCAACCUGAUGUGGCGCUUCUCAAGGAAGUCGUAAUAGAAUUUCAUGUGGAAGGUCAUUCCAUCGAUGUGGAGCACUCCAAUGUCCUUGAAGACAACGGCAACGUUCUCCCCAUUCUUCAGGCAGCCAGAGAGCAGGGACACGGUGCUUUGGAUGCAAGCCUGCGCUGUCUGCCAGGUCACAGAGGCAGCUGCGGCCACCUCGCUGCUCUUGAGCGGCUCCAGCUUCCUAUGGGCUGAAAAAUGGGAGGGACGGAGUUGAUGAUACGGUUGGUUUUCCGCAGUGCUUCCCUGGAACUGCUUCUUGUGGCCAUCAGCCAGAACGGCCCCAUGUUUGGCUGGGCUCCUCCGAGGGGGAGGUUUGCUUUGGAGAAUGGAGGCGGUGGCCCUGUUGGCCCUGUGCGUGAAGCCAGCAAAGCUUUAAUCCUCCCUCCUACCUGGCAGGGACUCCCUGCGGGGCUUGAGGUGGUGCACGGCUAUGAGGUUUCCAGACAAGUGAAAGACGGGCCACCGCAGAGUCACGGUCCCGUCCUCAGUCCUGAUGUCUCUGGAGAUGGUGUCAAAGGAUCCGAAGGUGGGAAUCCAGACCCCCUACAAGUGGUAGAGAAAGGAAGGGGGCAGGGUUAUGGGCCGGCUGGCUGGAGGAAGAGCCCAUGUAGCGGUCCAAGGCAGGGACGGAGCUCAGGAGCCCUCUCCCGCUGUUCAGAGGCACGAGCCAGGGCAUCGGGAAUGGCUUUGGGAAGGGGCUGCACAGUCCUCUCCUUCCCCUCGCCCUCCCAAAUGCAGCACAGCAGUCAGGGCAGAAGCAGCCUGAUGGGAUCCAGAGGCUUCCCGCGAGCGGGAUCAGCCCUGAGACAGGACAGCGCCCAGCACAAGUGAUCCUGCGGGAUUUGCAGGAAGCCCAUGGCAUGCCCAGUAGAGAC